UUUUAACUGCAGAUGUGGUUCAUACAGAUCAUGUUUUGACUGUGCAAUUAACUAAAAUAAUUCAAAACUACAAUGAAACUAACUUAGGAAGAGCACAAAAACUAGUGAAGGAGGCUGCAGGACAAGGUGCAAAAGUUGUAGUCUUACAUGAGUGCUUCAACUCCCCUUAUGGAACCGGGUUCUUUGCUGAGUAUGCUGAGAAGAUCCCAGGAGAGUCCACAAAGGUGUUGUCAGAGGCAGCCAAGGAUUGUGGGGUCUAUUUAGUGGGCGGUUCCAUUCCUGAGGAGGAUGGAGGAAAGCUCUAUAACAGCUGCUUAGUUUUUGGACCUGAUUGAAAGUCACUUGUCAAACACAGGAAAGGGUGAAGUUGACAAAAGCUGGGUCAGAGGAGGCUUCUGUAUAUGCUGACAUAGG